rnacentral:rRNA from 1 species
GUGAAUUGCAGAAUUCAGUGAAUCAUCGAAUCUUUGAACGCACCUUGCGCUCCUUGGUAUUCCGAAGAGCAUGCCUGUUUGAGUGUCA